rnacentral:tRNA from 1 species
GCCUGGGUGGCUCAGUGGUUAAGCAUCUGACUUCAGCUCAGGUCAUGAUCUCACCUUUUGAGAGUUCAAGUCCCAUAUCAGGUA